UACGGAGGGUGCAAGCGUUAUCCGGAUUCACUGGGUUUAAAGGGUGCGUAGGCGGACAGGUAAGUCAGUGGUGAAAUCUCUGGGCUUAACUCAGAAACUGCCGUUGAUACUAUUUGUCUUGAAUAUCAUGGAGGUAAGCGGAAUAUGUCAUGUAGCGGUGAAAUGCUUAGAUAUGACAUAGAACACCGAUAGCGAAGGCAGCUUACUACAUGAAGAUUGACGCUGAGGCACGAAAGCGUGGGGAGCAAAC
rnacentral:rRNA from 1 species